rnacentral:rRNA from 1 species
UACGUAGGGGCCUAGCGUUGUCCGGAUUUAUUGGGCGUAAAGAGCGCGCAGGCGGUCGUCCAAGUCGCGUGUGAAAGCCCCCGGCUCAACUGGGGAGGGUCACGCGAUACUGGUCGACUCGAAGGCAGGAGAGGGUAGUGGAAUUCCCGGUGUAGUGGUGAAAUGCGUAGAUAUCGGGAGGAACACCAGUGGCGAAGGCGACUACCUGGCCUGUUCUUGACGCUGAGGCGCGAAAGCUAGGGGAGCAAACGGG